CAGUAGCCGCGGUAAUACAGAGGGUGCAAGCGUUAAUCGGAAUUACUGGGCGUAAAGCGCGCGUAGGUGGUUUGUUAAGUUGGAUGUGAAAUCCCCGGGCUCAACCUGGGAACUGCAUCCAAAACUGGCAAGCUAGAGUAUGGUAGAGGGUGGUGGAAUUUCCUGUGUAGCGGUGAAAUGCGUAGAUAUAGGAAGGAACACCAGUGGCGAAGGCGACCACCUGGACUGAUACUGACACUGAGGUGCGAAAGCGUGGGGAGCAAACAGGAUUAGAUACCCCGGUAGUCCCUGUCUCUUAUAU
rnacentral:rRNA from 1 species